rfam:Daucus carota subsp. sativus cultivar DH1 chromosome 5, whole genome shotgun sequence.
GUGUUCGUAGAAAGGAGAGAUGGUUGGCAUCUCCCCUGACAGGGACGGGAACUGCUCUCUUGAGCAUUACCUGUUACCACACAUCCGGUUAAGGCUUUCCACUUCGGCGGAUCUUAUAACCCAAUUUUUUU